rnacentral:rRNA from 1 species
GGUCAAGUGAAGAAGCGCAUACGGUGGAUGCCUUGGCAGUCAGAGGCGAUGAAAGACGUGGUAGCCUGCGAAAAGCUUCGGGGAGUCGGCAAACAGACUUUGAUCCGGAGAUCUCUGAAUGGGGGAACCCACCUAGGAUAACCUAGGUAUCUUGUACUGAAUCCAUAGGUGCAAGAGGCGAACCAGGGGAACUGAAACAUCUAAGUACCCUGAGGAAAAGAAAUCAACCGAGAUUCCCUUAGUAGUGGCGAGCGAACGGGGAUUAGCCCUUAAGCUUCAUUGAUUUUAGCGGAACGCUCUGGAAAGUGCGGCCAUAGUGGGUGAUAGCCCCGUACGCGAAAGGAUCUUUGAAGUGAAAUCGAGUAGGACGGAGCACGAGAAACUUUGUCUGAACAUGGGGGGACCAUCCUCCAAGGCUAAAUACUACUGACUGACCGAUAGUGAACCAGUACCGUGAGGGAAAGGCGAAAAGAACCCCGGAGAGGGGAGUGAAAUAGAACCUGAAACCGUAUGCGUACAAGCAGUGGGAGCCUACUUGUUAGGUGACUGCGUACCUUUUGUAUAAUGGGUCAGCGACUUAUAUUCAGUGGCAAGCUUAACCGUAUAGGGUAGGCGUAGCGAAAGCGAGUCUUAAUAGGGCGUUUAGUCGCUGGGUAUAGACCCGAAACCGGGCGAUCUAUCCAUGAGCAGGUUGAAGGUUAGGUAACACUGACUGGAGGACCGAACCCACUCCCGUUGAAAAGGUAGGGGAUGACUUGUGGAUCGGAGUGAAAGGCUAAUCAAGCUCGGAGAUAGCUGGUUCUCCUCGAAAGCUAUUUAGGUAGCGCCUCAUGUAUCACUCUGGGGGGUAGAGCACUGUUUCGGCUAGGGGGUCAUCCCGACUUACCAAACCGAUGCAAACUCCGAAUACCCAGAAGUGCCGAGCAUGGGAGACACACGGCGGGUGCUAACGUCCGUCGUGAAAAGGGAAACAACCCAGACCGCCAGCUAAGGUCCCAAAGUUGUGGUUAAGUGGUAAACGAUGUGGGAAGGCUUAGACAGCUAGGAGGUUGGCUUAGAAGCAGCCAUCCUUUAAAGAAAGCGUAAUAGCUCACUAGUCGAGUCGGCCUGCGCGGAAGAUGUAACGGGGCUCAAACCACACACCGAAGCUGCGGGUGUCACGUAAGUGACGCGGUAGAGGAGCGUUCUGUAAGCCUGUGAAGGUGAGUUGAGAAGCUUGCUGGAGGUAUCAGAAGUGCGAAUGCUGACAUGAGUAACGACAAUGGGUGUGAAAAACACCCACGCCGAAAGACCAAGGGUUCCUGCGCAACGUUAAUCGACGCAGGGUUAGUCGGUUCCUAAGGCGAGGCUGAAAAGCGUAGUCGAUGGGAAACAGGUUAAUAUUCCUGUACUUCUGGUUACUGCGAUGGAGGGACGGAGAAGGCUAGGCCAGCUUGGCGUUGGUUGUCCAAGUUUAAGGUGGUAGGCUGAAAUCUUAGGUAAAUCCGGGAUUUCAAGGCCGAGAGCUGAUGACGAGUCGUCUUUUAGAUGACGAAGUGGUUGAUGCCAUGCUUCCAAGAAAAGCUUCUAAGCUUCAGGUAACCAGGAACCGUACCCCAAACCGACACAGGUGGUCGGGUAGAGAAUACCAAGGCGCUUGAGAGAACUCGGGUGAAGGAACUAGGCAAAAUGGCACCGUAACUUCGGGAGAAGGUGCGCCGGCUAGGGUGAAGGAUUUACUCCGUAAGCUCUGGCUGGUCGAAGAUACCAGGCCGCUGCGACUGUUUAUUAAAAACACAGCACUCUGCAAACACGAAAGUGGACGUAUAGGGUGUGACGCCUGCCCGGUGCCGGAAGGUUAAUUGAUGGGGUUAGCGCAAGCGAAGCUCUUGAUCGAAGCCCCGGUAAACGGCGGCCGUAACUAUAACGGUCCUAAGGUAGCGAAAUUCCUUGUCGGGUAAGUUCCGACCUGCACGAAUGGCGUAACGAUGGCGGCGCUGUCUCCACCCGAGACUCAGUGAAAUUGAAAUCGCUGUGAAGAUGCAGUGUAUCCGCGGCUAGACGGAAAGACCCCGUGAACCUUUACUGUAGCUUUGCACUGGACUUUGAGCCUGCUUGUGUAGGAUAGGUGGGAGGCUUUGAAGCGUGGACGCCAGUUCGCGUGGAGCCAUCCUUGAAAUACCACCCUGGCAUGCUUGAGGUUCUAACUCUGGUCCGUAAUCCGGAUCGAGGACAGUGUAUGGUGGGCAGUUUGACUGGGGCGGUCUCCUCCUAAAGAGUAACGGAGGAGUACGAAGGUGCGCUCAGACCGGUCGGAAAUCGGUCGCAGAGUAUAAAGGCAAAAGCGCGCUUGACUGCGAGACAGACACGUCGAGCAGGUACGAAAGUAGGUCUUAGUGAUCCGGUGGUUCUGUAUGGAAGGGCCAUCGCUCAACGGAUAAAAGGUACUCCGGGGAUAACAGGCUGAUACCGCCCAAGAGUUCAUAUCGACGGCGGUGUUUGGCACCUCGAUGUCGGCUCAUCACAUCCUGGGGCUGAAGCCGGUCCCAAGGGUAUGGCUGUUCGCCAUUUAAAGUGGUACGCGAGCUGGGUUUAGAACGUCGUGAGACAGUUCGGUCCCUAUCUGCCGUGGACGUUUGAGAUUUGAGAGGGGCUGCUCCUAGUACGAGAGGACCGGAGUGGACGAACCUCUGGUGUUCCGGUUGUCACGCCAGUGGCAUUGCCGGGUAGCUAUGUUCGGAAAAGAUAACCGCUGAAAGCAUCUAAGCGGGAAACUUGCCUCAAGAUGAGAUCUCACUGGGAACUUGAUUCCCCUGAAGGGCCGUCGAAGACUACGACGUUGAUAGGCUGGGUGUGUAAGCGUUGUGAGGCGUUGAGCUAACCAGUACUAAUUGCCCGUGAGGCUUGACCAU